AUCUGAGACGUUCCUUCGUCAAACAAAACCGCCAACCAAAACCCUAGCUCGCUCGCUCGUGCCCCCAUUCCCCGUCCGAACAGACAACUCUCGAGAGGAGAGACUCAACCCACGCCCAGGACACCUAGCGGCGGCGGCGGCGGCUGCGGCGAAGGUCGUUCCUCCCCUGCAGCCUUUACCUAACCCUAGAUCGACGGGGCCGCAACCAUCUCAUCUCCUCUGCCCACAGGCGGCGGGAGAAGCAGUGAAGACCAUGGCCUGCUGCUCUGUCGGCAACCAAAGACGGAGAAAAGAAGGCCACUUCGGGUGUGGAUGGAUUCGGCGAUGGGCGAGGCCGCAUCACAGUAUGUUUCUUCUCCUCUUUCCUCACGUUUAAAGGUUUCAUGUCCGAUCUGCCGCUGCCCUCCGUAGCCCUCGGCAUGGCUCCGCCGGAUCCUCCGUCGCUUCUCCCCUCUGUAUGGCUCCGCAGGAUCGUCCGUCACCUCUCCUUUUACUCUCUAUCUCCGGCUGAAGCAGUCCUCCCGGCCGGCGUUGUCGCAGCAGCAACAACCGCCAGAGGGCGCCAGGACGUACGUGCACCUCCGUUGUCAAGUUCGUGUCCCUUCCGGAGCAGCACAAGGACUCUAUGUGAUGAAAAGUCUGACCACGAUCUCAACGUAAUGGUCUUCCGAUCAGUCUUAUUUUUUGGUGUAGCUCUAUGUGAUGAAAAGUAUACUGGGUUAGAAUCAAUUUAGAUUGUUAAUCUUUUGGCGGUAUAAAAACUAAGAUGCAUGUAUAUUCUUGGACAAACUUUUCAGUAUGUUUAGCUUUCAGAAAUUUAAAUACUUCAGUACUAACAGAUUUUAUUCUUAAAAUGCAAUACGAGAUUCGCAUGAAAGGACAAUUUCUUAUAGUUCAGGCUAGCGUAUUGUUUGCUACUUGGCAUAGGUAUGGUCUAUUUAUAUAAAGUAAAUACCUUAAAGGUAUGAUUCAAAUAGAGGUUCCUGGUUUGGUUUUUCACUUUGCUUCGUGUUAACAGUUUUGUUGUUUUGCAUCAGGUAUUUCUUUCUAUGAAAGACGCAAGUUUAAUUGAUGAGAUCGGAGCUAUACAUUUGAAUGGAAUGUUUCUCUCAUUCAACGGGCUAAAGUGUGUUUAUCACAACUUGAAAGCAGCUUGAUCCUGUUUAAAUUGCCUUUCUAAAUUGGCUUUCACAUGUACGGUAACAACAACACAUGAAUUAGUCCUCAAUCAAGAAUGCAGUAUCAAGGAUAUCCCAUAUGCAUUUAUAUUUCCUGUAUGAACAUGGAGGCAACACUACAGGAAUCUACUGCUGCUAGCAUCCGGCAGAUUAGGUGUUGUUUAUGGAUACAUUACCUCUUUAUGUACAAAAAAAUAUUCUCGGGAAGGAUCAUUCAAUACCAUGACGGACAAACAGUAUUCAAUGUAUCUUCCCUGAUAUUUGGACCUUCACAUUAGUUUGUUUGCGCAAGAAUGUCAUUAUUGUAUUGAACACCAAUAACAAUGGCAAAGUUCAUCCUAGGUGGUCCUCUGGUGCUCAGUUUAUGUACACCACCGGGAUUCAUCAUGCAGUGGCCGGUCCUUGAAUAACGUCCAACAAGAUGCAGUAUGAGCCAUUCCACGAACGACACUCCUACAUUUGUCACUUGUUAGCUGCGGUAUGAGUCGUUGUGCCUACAUCAGCGACUUGGUAUGCUCUAGACUUCUGAGAUAAAUAUAUCAGUUUAUGUACACCACCGAGAUUCAUCAUGCAGUAGCCGGCCCUUGAAUAACGUCCAACAAGAUGCAGUAUGAGCCAUUCCACGAACGACACUCCUACAUUUGUCACUUGUUAGCUGCGGUAUGAGUCGUUGUGCCUACAUCAGCGACUUGAUUUGAAGUGGCGCUCCAGAAGGUUUGGUGCUUCUCAAGUAUAUAUGACGAUUGCAUCCUAAUGUAUCAAAUAGAAAAGAAGCAACAUUGUAUUAUUUGUGUGGAAUUACAUGACUAUUAUCGCCUAAUGUAUCAAAUGGAAAAGCUGCAUCCCAGAUCAGAGAGAUCGCAAAGUCUCAUCACCAGGAGCUAAAUGCCUUGUUGACCUCCUGAUGUGGAUGAAACAUCUGAGCUUGCUUUUGGAAGUUUCUUCCCGUAUGAACUGAGGCUUUCUGUUUUUCUGUUUGAGUUACAUGAAUGUCUGACAUAUGUAGACAACAAUGUGUCAGAGAGCGUUUCUUGAUUGAACCAAGCGAUGAAUUUUUCAGUUUUUAUACUUGGAAUAUUUACUUGAGUGGUACUCGGGAGGAUCUCGGUCAUGUGCAAGAAUAAGGAGAAUAUUGUUGAUGUGCAGCUUUGGAUUGUUCCCAUUUCCCAAGUUGGAAGGAUUUGUGAUGCUGUAGAAGUGGCCGCCGGGAAGGACUGUCCACAUCACCGACCGUGGCGACCGGUCUUGUGUCUCAGUCUCACAAGUAAGAAGAUAAAGCUGCUGCUGCGAGGACCGAAGGGCUUGACGCUGCCGGCCAUGCGAUGGGGACCGUGUGGCCUGUGUUCAAGAUCCGGCAGGCCAUCGACCCGGAGAGUGUCCAGAAGCCCAUGGCGCUCCGUACGGACGCCAGCCGUUGACUUCACUUGCAAAUAGAAGCACUCAUCCUGAGUCCCCGCUUGUAGACAUAUGUGCUGGAAACAAAGAGCAAACAUAAGUGUAUUGUCCUUUUCCUCCGCUGUUGUCAGCGUUUUUGUGCUGAAAAUUGCACAUCCUUGUUGUUCGGUUUGGUUA